rnacentral:lncRNA from 1 species
GAGCAGCUGCAGGGAAGGAGGCUGAUGAGUUGGGGAAGUUUGGGUGGGGUAGGGGAGGCAGGCAGGCAAGGACACUGACAUUUCAACAGCUGCUUUGUGGUCGCGAGGGGGCCCGGAGGCCAGCGGAUGCAUUGGUGUGCUAAUAGAUACCACGGAUUGUUAUUUGUGCCUUUUGGAACUUGGGAAAAUGGAGUUUCUUUUGGACCUGUCAAGCAUCUGGCCCCUCAAGAAUUCUGUCCUUACUUAAGCUGUAAUGUGAAGUCUUCAGUUUUAGUCCAUCUCUUUAAAUUGAUUGCAAGGGCUUAACCGAAGAGAUUGACCCCCGUGGGUUUUCUAAGGAGGUUUCAGCCUUGGCUCUGCUGAGCGAACUGAGUUUGCUUCUUGUCAGGAAGUCUCUGCUUCCUCCUACAUCUCACAGGCUGUCACCCCUGAGCUAGUCAAGCCUGAGCUCGCGGCUCCACACCUCCCUCCAUGUCUCAUCGUUAUUAAAUCAAAGCACCUUUUGACUUGAAGCAGCCAGGCUAUUUCUGCCUCCUUCCACCCUGAACUGUCUCCAGUGAGAGAGGAAACUUUGUGAGAGUUGAGUUUCAGAUAGUCUCAAGAUCUGGAUUUAAUGUGGUAUCAGGGAGUUUGGGAAACAAGCCCACGAUCCAAGGGGAAGGCAGGUAGGUCUGUAACUAAGACAUGAAAAACACAAGAAGCUGGAAUGAGGUUUCUGUUUGAAACCAGCCACUCUCUAUUGCAGUGCAAUGACACAGGAAGACCCUCCACUCCCUAUGUUCAUAUACGUGUAUAAGUUAUUUACACUCUCAACAGUAGGGGAGUCAGCAGUUAGGUAGGAAUGACAGGGGAAACCUGAACAGGGGAAACCUAUUGUCUGGAUCUAUUCAUACUCUGUCUGCAUGGAAAGUUUCAAAUUGAGAGCUUUGAGAAAUGGCCUCAGGGGACACAUCAAGUCUACAGUUGUCAGGAGUGGUACCCAGAGACAGCCACCAGUGUUUGCAGAGUUGGCACCACAGGGCCCCGACUUCUGCCAUCCCUAGGCUGUGCAGCUGGUGCAAAAGGACCAGAGAGAAAAUACUACUUUAGAAAUGGUGGGAAUGGCUGCUGUGCCUCACGCCGAGCUCCUGAGGACAGCACACGUGGCUCACUGAACACUGUCAGCAGCUUAUUUUCUCUGAUGGUUGUUGGAGCAUCGAUAUCGAGAAAAUGACUUCCUUAGUGGAGAGAUGUUGGAGAAAACUAAACUCAAACUGCAAAGUGGAGGUGGGAUGAAAAGUUCUGAAAUAACAUAAUGGAAGGACAGCAAGAUGGAACCCAGGGUAUGAUCCAGUCCAAUUGUUCACCAACACGGCUUUAUAAUCUUCAACAGAUUGCUACCCUGGGACGGGCUGUGUCACACUAUAGCUACCGAUCACCCUAGUUUUCAUCUCAACCUUCCAGACAACACACACCACAGCCCUGUUGUGUAGGAGAAUAACUUUCACCUCAGAAAAAAUGUCCUACAAAAACCACUGGGAUAUCUUUUCAUCGGCCAGGAAGAGAGAUCAGAUGGAAACCCCAAUUUAUCAGAUCUGUGUGGAGCGAUGGAAACAGCAACUAUGUAGACAGACAUGACACAUCCUAUUGAGAAAUUUUCCUUUAAAAUUCUCUUUUAAAGCUCAUGUGUAUCUGAAACAAUAGUUAUACCAUGAUAUUUCAUAAAUAAUAUGGACAUAGCAGGCCA